rnacentral:rRNA from 1 species
UACAGAGGGGGCAAGCGUUGUUCGGAAUUACUGGGCGUAAAGGGCGCGUAGGCGGCCCGCUAAGUCGAACGUGAAAUCCCCGAGCUCAACUCGGGAACUGCGUCCGAUACUGGCGGGCUUGAAUCCGGGAGAGGGAUGCGGAAUUCCAGGUGUAGCGGUGAAAUGCGUAGAUAUCUGGAGGAAUACCGGUGGCGAAGGCGGCAUCCUGGACCGACAUUGACGCUGAGGCGCGAAAGCCAGGGGAGCAAACGGG